UCUGAGUAUGAGUGUUAACCCUGAGUUGACAAACCCUGAGUUGAAAAACUCUGAGUUUCCUGUUUCAACACAGCUGAUUCAAAUUAGUUUUGUCAACUCUGAGUAUGUUGACUCCGAGUCAAGCGCGUGCACCACGACUAUAAAUAAGCCAUCAUCAAUGGAGCCCCAAUUCCUUGAUUCACCAUGGAAGCGGGAUCAAAACGGAAGCGCUCAACAUUUUUUUCACCCCUGGAGCUUGAAAUUUUGAUGGAGGCAUACGGUGAAUAUGAGCAUAUUUUCCGAAAAAAAAGCAACACAGUGGCAGCGGCAAAAGAUAGAGAAAACGCAUGGGAAAAAAUCACUGCUCGAGUCAAUGCGUGCAACCCAGGGGGCGAAAAACGGACUUGGAGGCAGUUGAAAAUGAAAUAUAAAAAUAUAAUUCAAUCAGCCAACAGAAAGAGGGCAGAGGCCCGUAAAACAGGUGGAGGACCUG